AUCCUGACACCCAUAAGGGAAGUAUUCCCACUGUUGUAAAGGAAGUGGAAAAGCAGUUUAAUGCUGUGAAAGGAGGAGAAACGUGUGUGCUAGAAGAAGCAGGGAGGAAAAGAGAAGAGCUUAAAAAGCUUCCAGCAGAGAAUUAUUUUUACCAAGAUUGGAAUGGCUGUGCAGACAAGUUUUGCGUGAGGGAAGGCCAAGCAGGACAUCACAAGAUCAACUGGAAUAACUCACCUGACCAAUGUUAUCGAGAAAAGUCAGAUCCUGGGAACAGGGGAAGCACAGAAGAAGGGAAAGCAUCUGCAGAGACCAAUUUUUACUUGGAGGAGUUAGAGAAAUACACUUUUUCUGUGUGCUGCCGUUCUGCUGCUGAAGUGAAACUAUCCAGACAGGUUGCUGAGCGUUUCCAUUUCGUGGUGUACGCAGCCUUCUCAGAGCUGGGACCGGGACACUGGCGCUCUGGGGACUUCUGGCUGCUUGUACUGCUUGUGGUUUUGCUUUGGUUUGUGAGACUUUACCUGCAUUAUUUGAGCCAAUGGCUCUUCCUUCAGUCCAUCUCAGUUCCUGU